UGGGGAAUCUUGCACAAUGGGGGCAACCCUGAUGCAGCGACGCCGCGUGAGCGAUGAAGCCCUUCGGGGUGUAAAGCUCUUUCGGCAGGGAAGAUAAUGACGGUACCUGCAGAAGCAGCUGCGGCUAACUACGUGCCAGCAGCCGCGGUAAUACGUAGGCAGCAAGCGUUGUUCGGAGUUACUGGGCGUAAAGGGUGUGUAGGCGGCCUUCUAAGUUUGGUGUGAAAUCUCCCGGCUCAACCGGGAGGGUGCGCCGAAGACUGGGGGGCUAGAGUACGGGAUGGGAGAGUAGAAUUCCUGGUGUAGCGGUGAAAUGCGUAGAUAUCAGGAGGAAUACCGGUGGUGUAGACGGCUCUCUGGACCGUAACUGACGCUGAGACACGAAAGCGUGGGUAGCAAACAGGAUUAGAUACCCUGGUAGUCCACGCCCUAAACGAUGCAUAUUUGGUGUGGGCCAUUCAUUUGGUCCGUGCCGGAGCUAACGCGUUAAAUAUGCCGCCUGGGGAGUACAGUCGCAAGGCUGAAACUCAAAGGAAUUGACGG
rnacentral:rRNA from 1 species